CAGUUUUCCUCUGCCCUAGAAACAGUCAAAAGAGAGGAAUUGGCAAAGCCAGCCAAGGAGGACCUGUGGCUCACCCCUAAAUCCAACUGGGAGCCAGUGAGCAAGGGUGCCAAUUGCUGUCUUUUGUAAGGUCGGCCUCCUGGAGCAUAGAGUCAGGUAGAGGAGUGGGGAGAGUGGAUUUGGACGGGCAAAUGAAGACUGUCCGGCAGAGUCGUCCGUCAAUAUUGAAUCCAAGUUCCCACUCUGAAACUGCUUAUAGUCAAGUAGGGAAGAUGAGACUCCACCCAACGUCCACAGCACAGGAGUGAGUCUCAUACAACGGGUCCGAGCAGGACGAGACGCCACUUCAUAUCUGUCACAGCCUGCAGGGGUUCCCCAGCGUCUAGCAAAGCCCAGACUCUAAACCGGCAUUAAAGACUGUCUAUAAUGAGACUCAGGUCCUGUUGAAUCCUCUUCUCACCUGAGUCGUGACCAAACUGGAUGGCUCACUAUUGACCGUCACACACUUACUGAAUACCUAUUGAGUUCCUGGCACUGUGCAAAAAUGGGGCUACACAGGGAAUGAG
rnacentral:lncRNA from 1 species